rnacentral:rRNA from 1 species
AGUGAACGCUGGCGGUAGGCCUAACACAUGCAAGUCGAACGGCAGCACAGUAAGAGCUUGCUCUUACGGGUGGCGAGUGGCGGACGGGUGAGGAAUACAUCGGAAUCUACUUUUUCGGGGGGGAUAACGUAGGGAAACUUACGCUAAUACCGCAUACGACCUACGGGUGAAAGCAGGGGAUCGUCGGACCUUGCGCGAGUGAAUGAGCCGAUGUCGGAUUAGCUAGUUGGCGGGGUAAAGGCCCACCAAGGCGACGAUCCGUAGCUGGUCUGAGAGGAUGAUCAGCCACACUGGAACUGAGACACGGUCCAGACUCCUACGGGAGGCAGCAGUGGGGAAUAUUGGACAAUGGGCGCAAGCCUGAUCCAGCCAUACCGCGUGGGUGAAGAAGGCCUUCGGGUUGUAAAGCCCUUUUGUUGGGAAAGAAAAGCAGCAGGUUAAUACCCCGCUGUUCUGACGGUACCCAAAGAAUAAGCACCGGCUAACUUCGUG